UAGGGAAUCUUCCACAAUGGACGCAAGUCUGAUGGAGCAACGCCGCGUGAGUGAAGAAGGCUUUCGGGUCGUAAAACUCUGUUAUUGAAGAAGAACGUGUGUGACAGUAACUGGUCAUGCAGUGACGGUAUUCAAUCAGAAAGUCACGGCUAACUACGUGCCAGCAGCCGCGGUAAUACGUAGGUGGCAAGCGUUGUCCGGAUUUAUUGGGCGUAAAGCGAGUGCAGGCGGUCUUUUAAGUCUGAUGUGAAAGCCUUCGGCUUAACCGAAGAAGGGCAUCGGAAACUGGAGACUUGAGUGCAGAAGAGGAGAGUGGAACUCCAUGUGUAGCGGUGAAAUGCGUAGAUAUAUGGAAGAACACCAGUGGCGAAGGCGGCUCUCUGGUCUGUAACUGACGCUGAGGCUCGAAAGCGUGGGUAGCA
rnacentral:rRNA from 1 species